rnacentral:lncRNA from 1 species
UAGAGGUACUCUGCCGUAUGUGCAAAGAGUGGGCAUGCCGAGAUGCCACGGCAUCAUGUGUGCUGUCUUCCCACGCAUUUAGUAUUGGAGGUUGCGUAACCUCAAGUUUCAUUGACCUGUUGAAGCGAGAGGCAGACAAAGCAUUCGCUCCCCACUGCCGGCGCUUUUCAUGAUAGCGUCG